rnacentral:rRNA from 1 species
GACGAACGCUGGCGGCGUGCUUAACACAUGCAAGUCGAACGGAAAGGCCCUGCUUUUGUGGGGUGCUCGAGUGGCGAACGGGUGAGUAACACGUGAGUAACCUGCCCUUGACUUUGGGAUAACUUCAGGAAACUGGGGCUAAUACCGGAUAGGAGCUCCUGCUGCAUGGUGGGGGUUGGAAAGAUUCGGCGGUUGGGGAUGGACUCGCGGCUUAUCAGCUUGUUGGUGGGGUAGUGGCUUACCAAGGCUUUGACGGGUAGCCGGCCUGAGAGGGUGACCGGCCACAUUGGGACUGAGAUACGGCCCAGACUCCUACGGGAAGCAGCAGUGGGGAAUAUUGCACAAUGGGCGGAAGCCUGAUGCAGCAACGCCGCGUGCGGGAUGACGGCCUUCGGGUUGUAAACCGCUUUCGCCUGUGACGAAGCGUGAGUGACGGUAAUGGGUAAAGAAGCACCGGCUAACUACGUG